rnacentral:piRNA from 1 species
GUUCAGUGAUGAGGCCUGGAAUGUGCGCUGGG